CAAGUAGUGUUGUCAUGGGUUACACCUCAAUUCUUCACGUGUUAGCUUAUUCAAAUGAGCUGUUAGCAACAUGCUAAUAUAAGCACACACGUUGUUGCCAAGGCAAUUCCCACAAAUAGAGGAGGAGGUCCUACUCAAGGGAGGAAUGGUAGAAGAAGAAAACUGUAGGAAGAAGUUACAGUGAACUUACAAGAUGAAGCUGUGUAUGUGCCACACGCUUAUGGCAGUUUGGGUGAACGUCAAAACUUCAGCAGCUCACAAAGCCGUCCAAUCACAACGGAAGAGGAGGGGCGGGAGUCUGGACAAAUACCGCAAAUACCAACCGUCACAUCCUACAGGCUACAAGUGCUGAACAACAAUGGCGGAGAAAUUAAUACACAUAGACCGGCGGGUCCGUCCUCUCUCCUUUACGUGCUUCAGCCUUCCCUUCAUCCAGAGCAAGUACUCGACUUUGAACCGACAUUUUUACUUCUUGGGAUAUUCUGUAUCAUAGCAACCAGGCGCAACCAAAGUGUCUCAGUCUCAAUGCAGCGUCUCUGCAUUUAACAAUAAACAAGUAUUUAAUUAGUUUUAAAACUGUCAUCUAUCAUUUAAAAAGCACCAA